rnacentral:snRNA from 1 species
GGACGUGAGGGAGAUCUGGCUGCAACAUCUCUCACUUGAUUGAGAGUCAGGGUUGAUUGGCUGAUUUGGCUGGCUGGGUGGGUGUCCCCUUCUUUCCUCAUCACUCUAUGUGCAUCCCUCCCAAACUUGCAUGCUCAGUUGAGAACAAUGGCAUUCCCAGAUAGAGGAGGUUCUUUGGCCAAGGAUAUAGCUGUGUUCCCUUGUUAGAACCUCCAAACAAGCUCUCAAAAUGAAGGAAGGAAGGAAGCGAGGGAGGGAUGAAAGGAAGGAAGGAAAGAAGGAAGGAAGAUUCCAUGACUACCAAUUGAUG